GCUUCCUUAGCUCAGUCGGUAGAGCGCGAGUCUCAUAGCAAAUAUGUCCUCCUUCUCAGGUGGGUAAUCUCGAGGUCGCAAGUUCGAGCCUUGCAGGGAGCA